UGAGGAAUCUUGCGCAAUGGGGGAAACCCUGACGCAGCAACGCCGCGUGAGUGAGGAAGGUUUUCGAAUCGUAAAGCUCUGUCAGGUGGAAAGAAAUGCAUGAAAGUUAAUAGCUUCCAUGCUUGACGGUACCACCAGAGGAAGCACCGGCUAACUCCGUGCCAGCAGCCGCGGUAAUACGGGGGGUGCAAGCGUUGUUCGGAAUCAUUGGGCGUAAAGAGCGUGUAGGCGGCUUGAUAAGUCAGAUGUGAAAGCCCUGGGCUUAACCCAGGAAGUGCAUUUGAUACUGUUUAGCUAGAGUAAGGGAGAGGAAAGCGGAAUUCCUGGUGUAGAGGUGAAAUUCGUAGAUAUCAGGAGGAACACCGGUGGCGAAGGCGGCUUUCUGGCCCUAUACUGACGCUGAGACGCGAGAGCGUGGGUAGCAAACAG
rnacentral:rRNA from 1 species